UACGGGGGGGGCAAGCGUUGUUCGGAAUUACUGGGCGUAAAGGGUUCGUAGGUGGCCAACUAAGUCAUACGUGAAAUCCCUCAGCUUAACUGGGGAACUGCGUCUGAUACUGGUUGGCUUGAGUGCAGGAGAGGAACGCGGAAUUCCCAGUGUAGCGGUGAAAUGCGUAGAUAUUGGGAAGAACACCGGUGGCGAAAGCGCUCUGCUGGACCUGCACUGACACUGAGGGACGAAAGCUAGGGGAGCGAAAGGG
rnacentral:rRNA from 1 species